rnacentral:rRNA from 1 species
UACGUAGGGGGCAAGCGUUGCCCGGAUUUAUUGGGCGUAAAGAGCGUGUAGGCGGCCUUACAGGUCAGCUGUGAAAACUCGAGGCUCAACCUCGAGACGUCGGUUGAAACCGUAAGGCUAGAGUCCGGAAGAGGAGAGUGGAAUUCCCGGUGUAGCGGUGAAAUGCGCAGAUAUCGGGAAGAACACCCGUGGCGAAGGCGGCUCUCUGGGACGGUACUGACGCUGAGACGCGAAAGCGUGGGGAGCGAACAGG